GUUGGACAAUCUCAACCUCUUACCCCUUCAGUUUCUAACCCAGCCAUGAUAUGGCUCUGUCCACACCCCAGCGACUGAAAGGCCAGGGACUUUGUCUGGUUCCCUGCUGUGAGGACAGUGCCUACAACAGCACCUACAGCACAGAAGGUGCUCGGUGAACGUGUGUUGAAUGAAUGAAGUGUGUUGUACUUCCCACCACCUUUAAGACUCAGGUGAGCUGGUAAGAAACAUCCUCUGCAGGCAAGUUUGUUACUGCUUUAUGGUGCUACCCUCUACUUCAUUAGAGUGGGAAGCACGCAUGGAGGCGUUACGAAGCCUGGAACAUAACAGAACCUUGGCUCAUAUAGUGCUCAACAACUGCUUUCCGAAUAAAUGAGGGAAUCUUUACCUUUACAAUUCUGAGAAGAAAGCUCAUUUAAUUUCAGGUGAA